AGAGUUUGAUCCUGGCUCAGAAUCAACGCUGGCGGCGUGCCUAACACAUGCAAGUCGAACGAGAAAGUGGAGCAAUCCAUGAGUAAAGUGGCGACCGGGUGAGUAACACGUGACUAACCUACCUUCGAGUGGGGGAUAACUCCGGGAAACCGGAGCUAAUACCGCAUAACAUCGCAAGAUCAAAGCAGCAAUGCGCUUGAAGAGGGGGUCGCGGCUGAUUAGCUAGUUGGCGGGGUAACGGCCCACCAAGGCGACGAUCGGUAGCCGGCCUGAGAGGGCGCACGGCCACACUGGAACUGAAACACGGUCCAGACUCCUACGGGAGGCAGCAGUGGGGAAUUUUGCGCAAUGGGGGAAACCCUGACGCAGCAACGCCGCGUGGAGGAUGAAGUCCCUUGGGACGUAAACUCCUUUCGACCCGGACGAUAAUGACGGUACGGGUGGAAGAAGCCCCGGCUAACUUCGUGCCAGCAGCCGCGGUAAUACGAGGGGGGCGAGCGUUGUUCGGAAUUAUUGGGCGUAAAGGGCGCGUAGGCGGCGCCACAAGUCACCUGUGAAAUCUCCGGGCUUAACUCGGAGCCUGCAGGCGAAACUGUGGUGCUGGAGUAUGGGAGAGGUGCGUGGAAUUCCCGGUGUAGCGGCGAAAUGCGUAGAUAUCGGGAGGAACACCUGUGGCGAAAGCGGCGCACUGGACCAUAACUGACGCUGAGGCGCGAAAGCUAGGGGAGCAAACAGGAUUAGAUACCCUGGUAGUCCUAGCCCUAAACCAUGGAUGCUUGGUGUA
rnacentral:rRNA from 1 species